CGGAGCCAACCCAGGGACAUUUUCCUGGAGCGGCUGGGAAAGAGGAGUCUCUCGAAAUUCAGCAACUGCUAACAGCGAGGAGGGGUUUUGAAAGGUAAAGGCCAUUAGCUUGGAGGCAGAAGACAGACCUCCCUGACUGCUGAAUUCCUGCCGGCCUGAAAUUGGAGCAUUCCAAGCUCCUCAGAUGAGUCAUAAGCCACCAAGAUUGUGAGCCUCUGGAAACUUCAUCAUGAAAUGUUGGGGACCUGCCUCACCAGGUUGAUGUAAGGACCUCGUGGGAUGAAGCCAGCUCAGUGACCAUUCCAGAGAGGACACUCGACACAUGGUAACCAUCAUUAUGAUCAGUAGGGAUAUGUGGAAAUAGGAGUGAGGGUACAUGAGAUAUGGCAAGACCCAGGUUGACAAAUCUUUCCUACUAUUAUUAUUUUAAUUGUCUAAUCUUUUUGAAUUGCUGAUACUUGCAUGUGGUACAAAAUUUCAAAGAUACAAAUGUAUACAAAGCAUGACAACUCUCCCUCCCUCCUCUGUCCCCCAGUUACCUAAACCCAUCCCCAGAGGUUUCCUGUUUCUUUCCAAGGAUAUUCUAUGUUGUAUAUGUAAUUAUAUGUGUGUAUAUAUAUUUUCCUUUUGUCAUAACAGCAUGCUAUACACUCUUCUAGCAUUUUUUUUUUUUUUGAGAUGGAGUCUCACUCUGUUGCCCAGGCUAGGGUGCAGUGGCACAAUCUCAGCUCACUGCAAACUUCGCCUCCCAGGUUCAAGUGAUUCACCUGCCUCAGCCUCCUGAGCAGCUGGAAUUACAGGCGCCCACCACUGCACCUGGCUCAUUUUUGUAUUUUUAGUAGAGACGGGGUUUCACCCUGUUGGCCAGGCUGGUCUCGAAUUCCUGACCUCGUGAUCUACCCACCUUGGCCUCCCAAAGUGCUUGGAUUACCGGCAUGAGCCACCAUGCUCAGCCGCAUUUUUAAAAUUUAAUAUAUCCUGCUGAUUCUUCUAUAUCCACACAUGUGACCUGUCAUUCUUUUAUAUGCCUGCAUAGUGUUCCACUGGGUGGAUCCAUCACAGUUUUUUUGCUCAAUCCCAUAUUGAUGGACAGGUGGGUCAUUUCCUUAGUUAGUGAAACCUUUUGAAUGCUGCCAUUGUCUUAAAGACUUGGAAACCGAGCCUAGCAACUCUCAGUGAAUGAGUUGAAGAGUAGGGGCUUCUCUGGUCAAAACCCACAGCGCAUCAUUAAGUCUUUGGGCUUCCUCACUCCAGCUUUUAUUAAAUUAUCCCAAUUUGUCCUUUCAAAUAGAUGUCUUUUCUUAAGUAGUGAUUUACCACAAUUAAGCCCCCCCAAAAUUAAAUUAAGUGAAUUACGUCUCUUAGGUUGGGUGUCUGCGGGAACCAAGGUUGGGCACAGUAAUGGUCCAAAUGCUAUUAAAAGCAAAGGCAGGAGACUGUGCGCUGAGUUAGAAGGGAAAAUUCAUAGCUCCACUGAUACGCCAUGAUAAAUAAUUAUGAGUUAUUAAUUUUAAAUUACAUCUUUAAUGCGUUGCAUGAUUUUAAUUCCCCCUACAGUAUUAAUAUCGGACUGGCUUUGAUUAAUUUAAAGCAGAACAGAAAGGUGCCAAUUAAGAGAGCUAGCUGGGAACUUUGAGGUGUUUAUAUCUGUCUCUUGAUAGCCCCCACGGUGGGGGGCAAGGUCAUUCCUCAAGGGAAGCUGGCGAUUACCCACAGCAACCCAGGGUGGGAGGUGUCAAGAAGAGUGGGAGAUGGAUGUUAACCCUUUUUGUAUCUUCGAGUGCUAGAGAGGAAAGAGAGAAGGAUGGAAAAAUGAAAGACCUGGUCCAAGCCCCAAGGCCUUUAAUGAGCCAGGAGAUAGGUCAGGAUGGGGCUGGGCAUCCUGUGUGGCCUCGAGGCAGAAUCAGGGACCAGGACUCCUGGGUUCUGGGAUUCACUCUGUCACCUAGGACGAUGGCUUUGACCUGUCUAUGCUUUCAUGGGAUCUCAAGACUUGGACAAAAGGAGUAACGCUUGGUGAAUAUGAAGCAAUGAAUCAAAGAAUUUCCUAACCAGCUGAAUGGUAACAGGGUUAUGCUUGGAACAGCAGCCCACCUUAAGAAUGGGGCACACAUGGAGAUGUGUUUGGUUGACAUUUUAUUUUACAUAAUAGCUACAUAUUUAAUGCAUGCUAGAAAUAUAUAACCAGCUCCUUGAACCUCUGAUUUCAUAGAUACAAUUGCUUCAGUUG
ensembl:lncRNA LINC01234 long intergenic non-protein coding RNA 1234